CUUCGUUUCGUUCAGAUCGGCGACGUUCCAGUUUCUGCAACGGUGGUUUGGCUUUAUUCUUCUUAAAACUUCUUAAUUCGCAAUCCCACUACGAAAUUAUCUUUUGCGCUGUUCCUCGGCAAGAUCAUGUAUAAAUAUGCUGCAAUCUCUUCCCUGCGAAUCGCUAUCUACAUCUCUCUUCUACACAUCUCACUCAUAUUCAUAUUUUUCUGAUCACAUGGAUCUGCUCAUGGUCGAUCUUAACGACCCUCCAGCUCCUAUGCCAAAAGAUACAAAUUUGGAUAUAACUAGAGCCUUAGUUGAUGUAAAAAACCAUCCGAUUCUCAUAUGUUACAAAGCGUCAGAGCUUAGGACAAGCCGUUGGUGGGGUGUUUAAGAAAAGUUCAGCGCUCAUCAGUCCUUAAUCUGUAUCACAACUUGCUUAACGGUUGGAUUGUUAUAGAGAUGGGUGUUGGAGGUGAGUAACCAUAUGUUGGAUGGGAGAAGAAGCGAAAAAGCAAGUCAGAGUUUGGAUGUGAGAAGAAUCUUUCUGCUACAUUUGUUGGUUUUUUCCUUGAUUUAUCUUUUUACUGAUGGAGAUGGCGUGAACAACUGAAGAAAUUCACAAAAAUUCAUCAGGCUGUCAUUCACUUGGCUGCAAAAGGAAAAGUUCAAGUACAUGAGGGGAUGUAGAGAACAAUAAAAUCCAACAAUUGGGAGAAGGAACUUUCGAUCAGUAGAAUGAAACCUGAAAGAAACAUGAGGGCACCUUCUUUUUCUUCAUGUGCCUUUGCAGCAUAAUGAUUUAGUGUAGCUUUGUCAACAGAUGUCGUUUUUAAUUUGCGAUGAACUCUAAGUCGAGCGCCGAAGCCAAACGAAGAUAUAAAUGCUGGUAGUAUUUGUAUUUUUUAAUAACCAACGUUGAUUAAACACUUAAACCUGAGAGGUGCCUGUAAUAUAAAGAUUUUUCAUUGUUAA